rnacentral:rRNA from 1 species
UACAGAGGGUGCAAGCGUUGUUCGGAAUUACUGGGCGUAAAGCGCGUGUAGGCGGCAUGGCAAGUCGGGUGUGAAAGCCCUCAGCUUAACUGAGGAAGUGCGCCCGAAACUGCCGUGCUUGAGUGCCGGAGAGGGUGGCGGAAUUCCCCCAAGUAGAGGUGAAAUUCGUAGAUAUGGGGGAGGAACACCGGUGGCGAAGGCGGCCACCUGGACGGUAACUGGACGCUGAGACGCGAAAGCGUGGGGAGCAAACAGG